UACGUGAUAUUGAUGAACAAAUUUCGCGCGACAACGAACGUUUCCGGACGACGGAUGUAAACAAAGUGAAAAAGAAAAAAAAAAAUUUCCGGACCGAAAAUUUUUUCGAAAAAAAAUCGAUAUUUCGGUUCGUCAGCAUGUGUUUUGGACCCCUGAAGAGAGUUUGCCACUGGGGUCCUCUGAUCGCAUUGGGGAUCAUCAAAUCCGUGACGUUCUCGACGGUGGUCUGCCUCUCGCAGUGGUGGCCGCCCCGGGACCCUAAAAUAUCCUUUUCUCAUCCCAGGGACCCUAAAAUAUCCUUUUCUCAUCCCAGGGACCCUAAAA